rnacentral:rRNA from 1 species
UACGUAGGGGGCAAGCGUUGUCCGGAAUCAUUGGGCGUAAAGCGCGCGUAGGCGGCUAGAUCAGUCUGCUGUAAAAGUCAAAGGCUCAACCUUUGAAAGCCGGUGGAUACUGUCUAGCUAGAGUCCGGAAGAGGCGAGUGGAAUUCCUGGUGUAGCGGUGGAAUGCGCAGAUAUCAGGAGGAACACCGAUGGCGAAGGCAGGUCUCUGGGCCACUACUGACGCUGAGAAGCGAAAGCAUGGGGAGCGAACAGG